GACGAACGCUGGCGGCGUGCUUAACACAUGCAAGUCGAACGGAAAGGCCCCUUUGGGGGUACUCGAGUGGCGAACGGGUGAGUAACACGUGAGUAACCUGCCCUUGACUUCGGGAUAACUUCAGGAAACUGGGGCUAAUACCGGAUAGGAAUCCUUGCUGCAUGGUGGGGGUUGGAAAGCUUCGGCGGUUUUGGAUGGACUCGCGGCUUAUCAGCUUGUUGGUGGGGUAGUGGCUUACCAAGGCUUUGACGGGUAGCCGGCCUGAGAGGGCGACCGGCCACAUUGGGACUGAGAUACGGCCCAGACUCCUACGGGAGGCAGCAGGGGGGAAUAAUGCACAAUGGGCGGAAGCCUGAUGCAGCAACGCCGCGUGCGGGAUGACGGCCUUCGGGUUGUAAACCGCUUUCAGCAGGGGCGAAGCUUGUGGUGACGGUACCUGCAGAAGAAGCACCGGCUAACUACGUG
rnacentral:rRNA from 1 species